rnacentral:rRNA from 1 species
GUACGCUGGCGGCACGCCUAAACAUGCAAGUCGAACGCAGUAGCAAUACUGAGUGGCAAACGGGUGAGUAUAAUGUGGGAAUCUGCCUUUUGGUUUGGAAUAACACGGGGAAACUUGUGCUAAUACCGAAUAAGCCCUUACGGGGAAAGUUUUAACGCCGAAAGAUGAGCCUGCACUUGAUUAGCUAGUUGGUAAGGUAAAAGCUUACCAAGGCAACGAUCAAUAGCUGUUCUUAGAGGAAGACCAGCCACAUUGGGACUGAGACACGGCCCAGACUCCUACGGGAGGCAGCAGUGGGGAAUCUUGCACAAUGGGGGAAACCCUGAUGCAGCGAUGCCGCGUGAGUGAAGAAGGCCUUUGGGUUGUAAAACUCUUUCGUCGGGGAAGA